UGAGCAAUCUGCCCUUCUCUUUGGAAUAAGCGUUGGAAACGACGUCUAAUGCCGAAUACGACCUCCUUUCGCAUGAUUGGAGGUGGAAAGCUCCGGCGGAGAAGGAUGAGCUCGCGGCCUAUCGGCUAGUUGGUGUGGGUAAUGGCCCACCAAGGCGACGACGGGUAGCCGGCCUGAGAGGGUGACCGGCCACACUGGGACUGAGACACGGCCCAGACUCCUACGGGGAGCAGCAGG
rnacentral:rRNA from 1 species